UACGAGGGGGGCGAGCGUUAAUCGGAAUUACUGGGCGUAAAGCGUGCGCAGGCGGUUCGGAAAGAAAGGUGUGAAAUCCCAGGGCUUAACCUUGGAACUGCACUUUUAACUACCGGGCUAGAGUACGUCAGAGGGGGGUAGAAUUCCACGUGUAGCAGUGAAAUGCGUAGAGAUGUGGAGGAAUACCGAUGGCGAAGGCAGCCCCCUGGGAUGAUACUGACGCUCAUGCACGAAAGCGUGGGGAGCAAACAGG
rnacentral:rRNA from 1 species